rnacentral:rRNA from 1 species
UUCUCAGUUCGGAUCGCAGUCUGCAACUCGACUGCGUGAAGCUGGAAUCGCUAGUAAUCGCGGAUCAGCAUGCCGCGGUGAAUACGUUCCCGGGCCUUGUACACACCGCCCGUCACACCACGAGAGGUUGUAACACCCGAAGUCGGUGAGGUAACCUUUAUGGAGCCAGCCGCCGAAGGUGGGACAGAUGAUUGGGGUGAAGUCGUAACAAGGUAGCCGUAUCGGAAGGUGCGGCUGGAUCACCUCCUUUCUAAGGA